rnacentral:rRNA from 1 species
CUGACGGUAGUCGUAUGCUCGUCUCCGAGACUAAGCCAUGCAAGUCCAAGUACACGUCCUUGAACGACGGAAACUGCGAACGGCUCAAUUAAAUCAGUUGCGAUCUACUCGGCGUUCCGCGCCGCCGAUAACCGUAGUAAUUCGUAGGGCUAAUACGUGCGAAGCGCCGAAGCCGCGAGGCGACGGCGUUCUCGCCGGAUGUAGGAACCGACCCGGGGACCGCCGGGGCAACCCGGCGCCCCCGAGACGGGGCGAACCACGGUGAAAUGACGGAUCGUCGGCCCCGCGCCGGCGACUCGCCGAAUGAGUUUCUGACCUAUCAACUCGAGACGGCGGGGUAGAGGCCCGCCGCGGUAACGACGGGUAACGGGGAAUCAGGGUUCGAUUCCGGAGAGGGAGCCCCGAGAAACGGCUACCACUUCCAAGGAAGGCAGCAGGC